rnacentral:tRNA from 1 species
GCUCGAUUCGACUAUCGGUAGGUCACUUCCCUUUCAAGGAAGUAGGACGGGUUCGACUCCCGUAUCGAGUA